AUUUUGUGUUCAAAUUAAAAAUUAUUUAAAAAAUUUUUAUUUUAUUUUUAUUCUCCUAACAAGAAUAGGAACUACUAACUGAUAAAAAAUUAUUAACUAGAAAUUAUAUCUUCAGGAGUGGUACCAGAAGGAACUCUUCAGUCAUCGCAUUUCUCCGAAGUGGAAUCCAACGAUCGGCAGGGACUUAUCACAUCUACCUGCUUUCUUCUACACCAAAGUCCUUCG